GAUGAACGCUGGCGGCGUGCCUAAUACAUGCAAGUCGAGCGAAUGGAUUAAGAGCUUGCUCUUAUGAAGUUAGCGGCGGACGGGUGAGUAACACGUGGGUAACCUGCCCAUAAGACUGGGAUAACUCCGGGAAACCGGGGCUAAUACCGGAUAACAUUUUGAACCGCAUGGUUCGAUAUUGAAAGGCGGCUUCGUCUGUCACUUAUGGAUGGACCCGGGUCGCAUUAGCUAGUUGGUGAGGUAACGGCUCACCAAGGCAACGAUGCGUAGCCGACCUGGGAGGGUGAUCGGCCACACUGGGACUGGGACACGGCCCAGACUCCUACGGGAGGCAGCAGUAGGGAAUCUUCCGCAAUGGACGAAAGUCUGACGGAGCAACGCCGCGUGAGUGAUGAAGGCUUUCGGGUCGUAAAACUCUGUUGUUAGGGAAGAACAAGUGCUAGUUGAAUAAGCUGGCACCUUGACGGUACCUAACCAGAAAGCCACGGCUAACUACGUGCCAGCAGCCGCCGUAA
rnacentral:rRNA from 1 species